CCUACGGGCGGCAGCAGUGGGGGAUAUUGCACAAUGGGGGAAACCCUGAUGCAGCGACGCCGCGUGUGGGAAGACGGUCCUCUGGAUUGUAAACCACUGUCCCCAGGGACGAAGAUGACGGUACCUGGGGAGGAAGCUCCGGCUAACUACGUGCCAGCAGCCGCGGUACUACGUAGGGAGCGAGCGUUGUCCGGAAUUACUGGGUGUAAAGGGAGCGUUGGCGGGACUGCAAGUUGGGUGUCAAAUCUACCGGCUCAACCGGUAGCCGCACUCAAAACUGCAGUUCUUGAGUGAAGUAGAGGCAGGCGGAAUUCCUAGUGUAGCGGUGAAAUGCGUAGAUAUUAGGAGGAACACCAGUGGCGAAGGCGGCCUGCUGGGCUUUUACUGACGCUGAGGCUCGAAAGUGUGGGGAGCAAACAGGAUUAGAUACCCGGGUAGUC
rnacentral:rRNA from 1 species